rnacentral:lncRNA from 1 species
AGUUGUCAACUAGCAACACGGUUUUAUAUGUAUUAAAAGAUUAAAUACUGUUGUUUGUUUCCAAUAAUAAAAUUAUAGUUGUCAAUUCAUUAAAAAUUCUAGUUUUCAACUAUUUAAUACUAUAUAUAUAUACUUUCAAUAACAAUCGUAAACUGUGCAGUUAUUUAUUAUCUUAAAACUUUUACUUUCUUUGAAAUUUUUAAUUAAGAAAUAUUAUGUAUUUUCAAUAAGUUAUUGAUAAUAACAAUAGUUAUAUUUAUGUUAGGGGCGAACGAGGUUCGAUUUGGGCGGUUUGUUUUAUAUUUUCAACUCAAACCAUUUUAUGCAGUUUGAAAUUGUUUCAAACCAAUCCAAACCAUUUCAUUUUUCGAGCCAACCCAAACCAAACCAAACCAAACCAUAAAUUACCAUUUUAUGCAGUUUGAAAUUGUUUCAAACCAAUCCAAACCAUUUCAUUUUUCGAACCAACCCAAACCAAACCAUAAUUUAUGGUUUGGUUCGGUUUUAAUCCACGGAUUACCUUUCGACAGUAUAGUAAUGUAUUUAACAUAAAUUAAAUAUAAGUUUAAACGAGAACUAAUAAUGUUAAAUGUUAAAUUACAUUCAUAUUUACUAUGAAACCCAUGAAUAAAUUAUUUUCAAAGUUGGUUGCUAAAAGAUGUUAAUAGAACAAAUAAAUAUUUCUUCAUUUUUAUUUAUCUUUUCUUGUUUGACAUUCAUAUUGUCAUUUAGCGGUUGGUAAAUAUAAAGUUACAUUCUGUUAUUAUAGUUUGGUUAAAACUCAUUUUGUUUUUCUAGUGAGAUAUUAAAUAAGGAUUGAACGGGAUAUGUUUAGAUUUACAAAGAUUGAUAGAGUUUCGAUUCAUUGGGAAUUGAUCCUCUAACUACUUAAUGAAAGUAGGUAGUAACAUUAGUUUGGGAACUUUAACAUUUUCACACAAUCAAUACGCUUUAUUAUUCGUUCUUUUCAAAUCAUAAACAAGUUCAUUAAUUAUCUAAGCGUACAAACAAUCAUUUUCUAUCAAAAUCACAAUCCACAAGUUUAUAAUAAGUUCAAAAAAAAAAAACAAAUAAAAGAAAGAAUAAUAAAAAAGGGCUUGAAUAAGAAUCUAAAACUUACCGUUAGAGGAGAAAAAGAGUCAAUUCAAGUAGAGAUUAGUAAAUUAACAGGCAAAGGCGAUUGGCGAUUCGUUCGGCAGUGGCAGACAAACGUCAAAUGUUAGAGAAAUAAAAGUUUAUAUUUGAAACUUUGGAUAUGAUUUGUUGACGUAGUUUUGUUGAAUUAUGAUUUAGAUUGCUGAAAAUAUAUAUAUAUUUUUUUUUUUAUUUCAUAUGAUUUUGGAAUAAUUUUAGUUUAGUUUAGAUAUCAGGUGAGGAUGUUUUGUGAACCUUUUAAAUCAUUGACUAAUAAUGAUGAACUUAAUUUACUUUUUAUGAUUAUUUCAAUAGGCUGGUUGUAAUUUGUAUUAUUAAAUUAGUAUUUUUUUUAAAAGUGAAAACUGUAAAAUUUUUAAGCCACUAAAAUUAAUUUUUUAAUUAAAAAUUUAAAAACGGUUUGGUUCGAUUUUGUGCGAUUUUUGAAAAUCAAAACAUAAACCAAACAAUUUUGAAACGGCUUGAAGGAAAAGAAAUCAUGAGUCCACAUAGACCCGAACUAAUGAUUUCAACUCAACGGUUUCAAUUCGGCUUGCAGUUUCGCGAUUUUUUGUGCGGCUCUAAUUUAUGUAAAAUAGUUUAAAACCAACAAAAACUCUUCUUCAGACAUCAUAAGGUAUUUGAUAUGUAUAUAAAAUUUUUAAAAUAUAAAAAUAUAAAAUAAUUAAAAAAACCCUUUUGCUACCUAUUAGCAGGGCCGAUCUUGCUAUGAGGCAAAUGAGGCUGGGGCCUUAGGCCCAAAAUCUAAGGAGGCCUAUUUUUUGCCCAAAGAUUUUUUUUAUUAUUAUUUUUUUAAUAAAUAUAGAGGAUCCAUUCCGUUCAUUAUUUUCUUCUAGCCCCAAAAUCGGAUGGGCCUAUUUUUGGCCCAACUUUUUUAUUUUUAUUUUUUAAAAUGAGGAAAAUUGGAUUUUAUAUUUCAUUCCUCCUCUCCUCUGUGACGACUACGACGUUCAACUCGACCUCCACCUCCAAUCCUACUCCAAGAAUCAUUGAACCGACGACGGAGACUCGAUGUUGGCAUCAUUUCCUUAGUCGACCCUACUUAUCUUCUUCGUGCCAGUUCCCAAAUACCUCUUCCUUCCCUUCACUCUUCACAAAUCACAAGAACAAGAAGUCACCUAUUUUCAACCCUAAAGGCCUAAUUUAUUGCCUUCUUUUAGUGUUUGUUACCUCUCUUUCUUGUGCCGAUCGUCAAUUUAUUGUCUGUCCUCUUCAAUUUGAUCAUGGUAUGUUUAUUAUGUAAUUAGUUUUUUCUUGUCAAGAUUCUUGACAGAGUAAACUCUCAGAAAAAUUACAAUUUCUCUUACUUAGCCUGUGUAUGUGGUUUUAUUUCAGGUAGAUUGAUGUUAAUAAGGGCCUUUGACUACAAUUAUCUCAAUUAGAGUGUUGUUGUCUUGCCGAUGAAGGUUUGCCUCAUUUUUCCUUUGGUCAUGCUUUCCAACUCUUGUGUUUCUUCUAUUUUAUUACUAUUGAAAAAAUAAAAACAUAUAUUGAUUAGCAAAGAUGUUAUUAUAUGUCAAUUGUCCUAUUGCUAAUGAUAUAUUUGAUGAACUGCUAAAUCCUAAAUGGAGCCAUAACAUUAGUACAUAAAUCAUACUUAGCAGUCUAGUAACCAGAUUGUUGUUUUCCUUAACUUGUGCUCAUGUUCAAUCGUAUGUUAUUUGAAGACCUUAUGUACAUGGUUGGUGCAAUAGAUAUUUUAGGUUUGUUGUUUUUGUGAGAUAUGUCAGUAGUAAGGUGAACAAUAUCAACUGGAAUGAAUUUUGUCCAUGGUUUGGUUUGGUUUCCACUUUUGGUUUUGUAUUGGUGGUUGAUGCCAAAUUCUUAUUUCAGGUUUGUAAAUUGUGACGGUAGAAUUCUCAACGACGUGAUUUCGUCAUUUUCGUUGAAAUUCUACUUCUCAAGUAAGUAAUGACUUACCCUAACUUGUUAUUAAAUAUAUUGAAAAUGUUUGAAAUCUUGUCGCUUAUAUAUUAUAGCCUGGUUGGCUUAUAUGAUUGGUUAUUGUAGGAUCAAUUGCACAAGCGAACAUAGUAAAUAUAUUGAAAACUUUAAUUAUGAAAUGAUUGAGAUAUUUUGUGAAAAGAAGUUUCUCCAAUUGAAGUUAAUCAAGACUUACCUCCGAUCAACUAUGUCACAAGAAAGAUUGAACAGAUUAGCUAUAUUAUCAAUAGAAAAAAAAUUGGUUGAAUAAGUAAAUUAUUCAGAUUUGAUUAAUGUUUUUGUCUCUAAAAUAGCAAGGCAAUUGGUAUUUAAAUGAUUAUUUGAAACGUUGUUAGUUUUGUUAUUUUAUAAUAUAAACUUUUUGUAUAAUAUAUUUAUUUGUUGUUUUACUAUCAAGUUUUAAGUUAGCGAUAUGUUGUAUAAUACACAAUAGGUUUUGUUGGAUUUCGCAUUUAAGUUGAUUUUGGAGGACCUAAUUUUGGAGUUCGCCUCAGGCCCCAAAAUCAUAAGACCGGCACUGCCUAUUAGAGAGUAUCCAAUUGGACACGGAUUCGUAAUAAGUUUACAAGUAUCCAUGCUUCUUAGCCGUGGGUUACAUUGCAUGUUGGUUUUGUUGUUUUACUAGCUUUAAUUCUCAACCGAUUUUGUUUCAUUUCCAUUUUUUUGUGUGGAAUUGAAAUUUGUACUUCUAUUUUUCAUUUAUGUUAUGCCUUGAAAUAAGUUUUUGACCUUUGUGGCUGUGAUUCCUGGAGACUUGUGUCAUUUCUUAAGCAUAUGUUGCUUGUCUUUUGUUGGAUAUGAGUGAUACAUCUGCUGAUGGUCUUAUCUAUGCAGAUUCAUAAUUGACAAAGAGAGACCUAAAGUACUCGAGAUAAUAAAGAGAAAUGAGAAAAGGGACCAUAAAAUCAAUGACUUCUUGCUUACAUAUUUGUGUAUGCCACUCGAGAAGUUUCUAAUUCCACUUUGCUCUUGGAUAACCUUCAAAUCCUAAGGAAUACUGUUUUUUUAUGAGUUUUUGCUUUAAAGCUUUGGCCUUACAACGGACAACCAACACAGACUUGGCAUGGUGUAUAAAAUGAUUACAACACCACAGAACUUCAAUAUCUUUUUUGUUUCGUCUGUAAGCUUGAUUUGCUAAUGUUGUAUACUAUCCAGUUAAAGAAAGAAUCUAAAGCUUAUAGUUGGCGAAAGAAAUCAUCCUCGAAGAAGCAAAGCUUUUAAAAGUUAUUACUGGUGUGGUGAAAAUGCCCAACAAAUGAUAAUGUGAGGUUUUUGAAUGUUGGGGCCAACCAAAGACAGUUUUGAAGUUACUGAUGCUGAUGAAUCUGUCCACUGCUCAGAGCCUAGCCUUAAAGUUUGUGGAUCAACGUAUCAUAAUUUUUUCGGGAAAUUCUGAAAAUGAUGCAGGUAAAGGUCAUGCUUCAGUUGUCAGAUGUUUUUGAGAGCGGUUCUCUUUCUUCAUCACUCUGAGAGAAAUGUUGUUUUGAUAAUUUGAAGUUGAAUAUUUGGAGUUCCAUGAUGUACUAAAUUGGCAGGCUUCUUUUUUUCGGAUCGGUAAAUGUAAAUAUCAUUGAUAAAAAAUGUUUCAUAUACAAGUACAUCGGGCAUUCCUGGACGAAUCAAAAGCCAAUGUCACAUACAAUUACUCCGGGCAUACCUGGGAGAGACAAAAGAAAGUGAAAUGCAUAAAAGAUCAAUGACCCAAUGCCAAGGAUUCGAAAUGGAUCAAGAUAUCCGGAUAUAAGGUAAACAAAACCUUGUAUACAUGUGUCUUGAUCUGUCUAACAAUGCAAUCCAAGUCGGGUGAGUGGUCUUCGAAAAUCUUCCUAUUCCUUGUAAGCCAAAUGUAGAAUACGGUGUUUGCAAGAGCAAUCCUCUUCGACUUACUUAGGCAGCCUUGAAGUCCCACAUGCCUCAUUUUUCAACCACUUAAGAGCACUAGCAAGUGUUGACAUAGAUCUCGUAAUGUCGAGCCAUCGCCUAAUAUUCCUCCAUAAGGUAGAUGUGAAGGAACACUUAAAAAAAAGAUGGUCGCAAGUUUCCACAAAAUGCCCACGAAAAACACACUUGCGAUCAAUAUCCAAAAAAGCAGUUUGUCUUUAGUUAGGAGCUUUGAUUGGGCCCCUAACCAAAGCAUAAAAGAAUGCUUCGAUGUGAUGCAAGGUUUCCAAACUUCGGCUCCCCAAGUCUUGAAAGUGCCCUUAGGCCUAAAGAAAUUAUAGGCAAUUUUUGUGCUGAAUUUAUCACUUGUAGAACAGCGCAGAUUUCUGUUGAAAAUUUCCAGAAACUACCUACCGAAUGAAGGAAUCUGCCCGCCUGUAGUUCUGUCCAAAUUCUGCCCAGUUAUCCCCCAGUUCUGUGCAUUCCCAACAAUAUAAUUUCGGCCAGAAACAGCAUGCCGAGAAGGGGAAAUUCCAGCCUCCAUUUGACCCGACACCCCAUGUUGUCCAUAAGUUAAAAACUGUUGGGCAGCACCAUUUUCACGAAAAAUAUCUCUGAUUUCCAGCAGUUUCUUGAAGAUUGGAGAAUAAUCUUUCCUAGGACGAACCUCCCAAAUGCAAGUCCCAUUAAGAUAUACUUGAUGAACCCACCGAAUCCAAAGAGUGUCCUUUUUAUGUUGAAUGUUCCAAAGGGAUUUAAGAACUAACGCUAAAUUCCAGCUCUUCAAGUCCUUUAAUCCAAGGCUCCCUUCUUCUUUUGGAAGGUAAAGAUCAUUCCACGCAACUAAUGGCUUUUUAGAUCCCCAAAGGAAUUUUCGACAGAGGCUAACAAUCCUUGAUAUAAUUGUAGCCGGGAUGGGGAAGAUAGAAAGCCAAAAACAUUCGACUCCUUGAAGCACCACCCUAAUGAGUUCCAUUUAGCCAGCAUAAGAUAAAGAUGAACAAUUCCAAGCUCCAAUAUAACCCGCAAUUUUAUCAAGGAACGGAGCAUAAGAGCUCACUUUGAGCUUCUCCGAGGCAACAAGAAUGCCCAAGUAGCGAAAAGGCAUAGUCCCCUUCGAAAAAUUUGAGAUUUCCAUGAUUCUUUCAAGCUCAUACCCAUAAAUCCCAGCUGUGUAUAAGCUGGAUUUCAAAGUGUUUAUCUUCAAACCUGAUGUUAAGCCAAACUUUUCAAGGCAAUUUAUAAGAAUUUCCACGGACAUAGCAUCACACCUUGCAAAAAGCAUCAAGUCAUCCGCAAAAGCCAAAUGGGUUAUCUUAAGGGGACCACAUUUCGAGUGAUAAUUAAAAUCACUAUCAUUUGUAGCAUCCUUGAUCAUUCUAGAAAAGUAUUCAAGACAAAGCACGAAUAAGAAAGGGGAAAGUGGGUCACCUUGCCGAAGACCUUUCCCGCCUUUGAAGAAACCAUGCAUACUUCCAUUCAAAGCAAUGGAAUAUGUAGGAGUGGUAACACACUCCAUAAUCCAUUGAACAAAUCUCGAAGGAAAAUUCAACCCUUCAAGUACACUUUUGAGAAAGUCCCAACUAACCGAGUCAUAAGCUUUCCUCAAAUCAAUUUUAAGGAGACAUCUUGGGGCAACCUCUUCCUAUUGUAUUGUCUCAUGAGCUCUUCAGCAAGAUGAAUAUUUUCCGUCAUGCUCCUACCUUCAAUGAAAGCGGCUUGUGCUUGGUCCACAAUGUCUCCUAAGAUAGGUGAUCACUUUAUAGAUCACAUUACAAUAAGAUAUCGGUCUAUAAUCCCCAACGUUAGGUGCACGAGUAGAUUUAGGCACCAAAACAAUGAUCGCAUGAUUAAUUUGCUUGAGGAUGGAUCCCGAUGAAAAGAAUUCCAAAAUAGCCUCCUCAAAAUCAUGUUCAAUACACCCCCAUGCACUCUUGAAGAAACAUGAAGUGUACCCAUCCGGGCCAGGAGAUUUAUCAUCUCCAAUCCCAAAAAGAGUUUCUUUAAUCUCCUCAGCAUUGCCUUGUUCAAAAGAUACCAAAGGCCCAUUGCGGAUAAUGACGUUGUCAAUCGGUCGAACGGCCUCAUAUUUUCCCAACGAGUUGGUAUAGAAGUUCACAAAUUCCAAAGCAACUUGAUCUUGUGAAGUGGUAUACAUCCCAUCCUCCUUAAGAAUAGAAGCAAUGAAAUUCCUCCUAGAGUUCCGUUUGACCACCGAGUGAAAAAACUUUGUACAUUUGUUACUUUCCUUAAGGAAGAUGCAUUUUGCCUUUUGAUAAUAAAAACUCCGCUCCGCUUCACAUAAAUCAACGGCCUUCUUUCUCAACUUGGCAACCAAAAGUUGAAAAUUCACAUUUAUGGGCUGAUCAUGUAAUUGUAAUUGGACAGCCUCCAGUUCAAUUUUUGCCUCAUUUGCCCUCGUCGAAAUGUGCCCAAAAUGUUUAUCAUUAAGCUCAUUCAAAGCACCAUUUAGUUGGCUCAAUUUCUUGCAAAGGAUAAAUUGCUUUGUCCCCCGCACAUUAAAAUUCCAAGAAGCUUGAAUAAUAUCAUGGAAGUCCACAUAUUGAAAAACUUGAAAGGUUUGUUUCCUCCCCCAACACGAUCAUGAACGGAAAUAAUACAAGGGUAAUGGUCGGAAAGAUAACCAGAGGGUAAAAAAUUAGCAUCAACAUAUGUCCCAUUUUGCACCCAAAUAUCAUUGACUAUUGCCCUAUCAAUUUUACUCUAAAUUGAACCAUUAGUCCACGUAUAAUAACAACCAAUAGAUCGCACAUCCAUUAGAUCCACAUGAAGGCAACAAUUUGUAAAAUACCUUGAUUUCAUAAGGGGUAACAUUCACCCCAUUGCAUUUCUCAUCAAAUUUAAGAAAAUUAUUGUAGUCACCAAUAAUCAACCACGGUGAUGAAAGAUUAGCAUUGAACUCCAUAAUGUUAUUCCAAAGAGGCUUUCGGUUUACCAUAGUAUGAAAUCCAUAAACAAAACUAACAAGAAAGGUAUAAGAUGUUAUCUUGCAAGUAGCUUUGCAAUGAAUGAUUUGUGAAUGAACUUCCAUCACAUCCAAAAAUACUUUGGAUGAAUUCCAAAAAAUCAAAAUUCGUCCACCUCUAUAAGUUCCAAAGUUGUUGGACAUACAUGAAGCCAUCGAACUUAUUCCUCAAAAUUCUCAUAAAUUUACGAUCCCCCAACUUUGUUUCCAAAAUGCCCAUAAUAUCAAUGCAAUGAAGCUUGAUAAAUUCACGAAUCCCAUUUUGUUUAAGGGGUGGAUUCAUACCCCUAAUAUUCCAAAAUGCAAUCUUCAUGAUGUAGAAGUGAGGGAAGCCCCCUUCUUCUUGUCAAUUUUCAAACCCGGUUUUCUUUGCUCUUCGACAUUGCCUUUGAGCUUUUCAUUUGUAAGUUUACAAGAAUCUGCCUGCAAUGGAUGAAAUGAUGAAUCUGGACCAGAUUUAGAAGAGCCAAGAAGAUCAGAUGUUUUCACCGAAACUGCCCGGGUUUUCUUGCUAACAACUUCAACAAAAGGCUCAUCAACCUGACCCGGAAUCUGGCCUUGCUGGUCAUCCAUUAAGUGCGCUGUAUUUCGGUUACAUGUAAUAUUAUUUUAUGAUCAGAUAAUUUGUGCCAAACUCGUCACUGACUAAAGUGAACUUCAGUUGCUCUCAAAUGGUGGUACAACUCUAAUUAUUUGUAUUAUAAUUAAUUUUUUAAACCAUCCA